GAUGAACGCCGGCGGCGUGCCUAAUACAUGCAAGUCGAGCGAACGGACGAGAAGCUUGCUUCUCUGAUGUUAGCGGCGGACGGGUGAGUAACACGUGGAUAACCUACCUAUAAGACUGGGAUAACUUCGGGAAACCGGAGCUAAUACCGGAUAAUAUUUUGAACCGCAUGGUUCAAAAGUGAAAGACGGUCUUGCUGUCACUUAUAGAUGGAUCCGCGCUGCAUUAGCUAGUUGGUAAGGUAACGGCUUACCAAGGCAACGAUGCAUAGCCGACCUGAGAGGGUGGUCGGCCACACUGGAACUGAGACACGGUCCAGACUCCUACGGGAGGCAGCAGUAGGGAAUCUUCCGCAAUGGGCGAAAGCCUGACGGAGCAACGCCGCGUGAGUGAUGAAGGUCUUCGGAUCGUAAAACUCUGUUAUUAGGGAAGAACAUAUGUGUAAGUAACUGUGCACAUCUUGACGGUACCUAAUCAGAAAGCCACGGCUAACUACGUG
rnacentral:rRNA from 1 species